UCAAGUAAUGAAGUGCACAUGGUGGAUGCCUUGGCAGUCAGAGGCGAUGAAAGACGUGUGAGCCUGCGAAAAGCUUCGGGGAGGCGGCAACAAUCCUGUGAUCCGGAGAUGUCUGAAUGGGGGAACCCACUUACCGUAAGGUAGGAAUUGCAACAUGAAUACAUAGUGUUGCAAAGCGAACGCGGGGAAGUGAAACAUCUCAGUACCCGUAGGAAUAGAAAUCAAUUGAGAUUCCCUCAGUAGCGGCGAGCGAACAGGGAUCAGCCCAUUAAGUCUAUAGCGUUUUAGUGGAACGGAUUGGAAACUCCGGCCAUAGUAGGUGAUAGCCCUGUACACGAAAGGGCGCUAUAGAUGAAUUGAGUAGGGCGAGGCACGAGAAACCUUGUCUGAAUAUGGGGGGACCAUCCUCCAAGGCUAAAUACUCCUGACUGACCGAUAGUGAACCAGUACCGUGAGGGAAAGGCGAAAAGAACCCCUGUGAGGGGAGUGAAAUAGAUCCUGAAACCGUGUGCAUACAAGCAGUAGGAGCGGACUUGUUCCGUGACUGCGUACCUUUUGUAUAAUGGGUCAGCGACUUAUAUUCUGUAGCAAGGUUAACCGUAUAGGGGAGCCGUAGGGAAACCGAGUCUGAAUAGGGCGUAUAGUUGCAGGGUAUAGACCCGAAACCGAGUGAUCUAUCCAUGAGCAGGAUGAAGGUGCCGUAACAGGCACUGGAGGUCCGAACCCACCGUCGUUGAAAAGCCGGGGGAUGACUUGUGGAUAGGGGUGAAAGGCUAAUCAAACUCGGUGAUAGCUGGUUCUCCCCGAAAGCUAUUUAGGUAGCGCCUCGGACGAAUACCACUGGGGGUAGAGCACUGUUUCGGCUAGGGGGUCAUCCCGACUUACCAAACCGAUGCAAACUCCGAAUACCAGUGAGUACUAUCCGGGAGACAGACUGCGGGUGCUAACGUCCGUAGUCAAGAGGGAAACAACCCAGACCGCCAGCUAAGGCCCCAAAUUUCUAGUUAAGUGGGAAACGAUGUGGGAAGGCAUAGACAGCUAGGAGGUUGGCUUAGAAGCAGCCAUCCUUUAAAGAAAGCGUAAUAGCUCACUAGUCGAGUCGGCCUGCGCGGAAGAUGUAACGGGGCUCAAACUAGAAGCCGAAGCUGCGGAUUUGAACUUGUUUCAAGUGGUAGGGGAGCGUUCUGUAAGUCUGUGAAGGUGUGUUGAGAAGCAUGCUGGAGAUAUCAGAAGUGCGAAUGCUGACGUGAGUAACGAUAAUGAGUGUGAAAAACAUUCACGCCGAAAGACCAAGGGUUCCAGUCCAACGUUAAUCGGGGCUGGGUUAGUCGACCCCUAAGGCGAGGCAGAAAUGCGUAGUCGAUGGGAAAUCGGUUAAUAUUCCGAUACUUCUACAUAAUGCGAUGAGGGGACGGAGAAGGUUAAGUCAGCCUGGCGUUGGUUGUCCAGGUGGAAGGUGGUAGGCAUGAGUCUUAGGCAAAUCCGGGACUCUUUAUGCUGAGAGCCGAUAGCAAGCUGUACUUGUACAGCGAAGUGACUGAUACCAAGCUUCCAGGAAAAGCCUCUAAGCUUCAGUUAUGUAGGAAUCGUACCCGAAACCGACACAGGUGGUCAGGUCGAGUAGACCAAGGCGCUUGAGAGAACUCUGCUGAAGGAACUAGGCAAAAUGGUACCGUAACUUCGGGAGAAGGUACGCUGCUGUUGGUUAUAGGACUUGCUCCUAGAAGCUGAUGGCAGCCUCAGAAACCAGGCCGCUGCAACUGUUUAUUAAAAACACAGCACUCUGCAAACACGAAAGUGGACGUAUAGGGUGUGAUGCCUGCCCGGUGCCGGAAGGUUAAUUGAUGGGGUUAGCGAAAGCGAAGCUCUUGAUCGAAGCCCCGGUAAACGGCGGCCGUAACUAUAACGGUCCUAAGGUAGCGAAAUUCCUUGUCGGGUAAGUUCCGACCUGCACGA
rnacentral:rRNA from 1 species